rnacentral:misc_RNA from 1 species
AAUUUGUUUUGACCGUGCCCCAAUCGGGUCUGUUGGGACACAGCCCGCCUCAUUGCGUGCUUGAGAGAAUAACGUGAUUGGGCAUCGUAUCAAGAUCAUACAAGACCUUCUCAAGUCAGAUGAUGGCAACAUGUUACAGACCAUACCCUGUCAGACAAACAUGGAGCCCCUGAUGCUAUACAGUGCCCAUCUACUGUUAAUAUCCAGCAAAUGCGUGCUACAGUAGAGGCAGAAGCUCUCACUCUUCCAAGUCGGGAAAUGAAGCAUCGUACCUAAAUUGUGAGCCAGAUGAUCAAUGGAGCCUAAGAGCCGUAUUAUGAGUACAUACUCGUACAAUGUACCUGAGCUGGAGGAUUCUGCUAGGAAGCUGAACGAGUGGGCACUGUCUAUACCUUGAGUUUGAUAUCACGGUGGUGAAUUCCAGUCAUUAGACUGUCGCCGUAAACAGACCAGCUUGAAAGACACAACAGGCAACCAACCACACAUGGAGUGGUUAUACUAGUACAUAGGGCAAGAUGAGUGUUA